UACGUAGGGGGGCGAGCGUUGUCCGGAAUCAUUGGGCGUAAAGAGCGUGUAGGCGGCCAGAUAAGUCCGCUGUGAAAUCUCGAGGCUCAACUUCGAGCUGUCGGUGGAAACUAUCUGGCUAGAGUCCGGAAGAGGAGAAUGGAAUUCCUGGUGUAGCGGUGAAAUGCGCAGAUAUCAGGAGGAACACCGGUGGCGAAGGCGGUUCUCUGGGCAUUACCUGACGCUGAGGAGCGAAAGUGUGGGGAGCGAACAGG
rnacentral:rRNA from 1 species